UCAUCACUUCUCUCAUUUCUUCUCACUCUGCCAAAGGGCACACAUACAAUCCCCAUUUUACCAAAAUCUUGUUCAGCUUCAGUAGUUUUCUUCCUGUAUGGGGGUCGCCAUCUGAAGUACUGGAGACAUGAUUCUACUCUGCAGCAGGUUGUUUCUGCUCUGCUGGCUUCACCUGAACAGCAUGAACAUACGGGAACCCACCACCACCAGGAACAAGAUGUGGCUU
rnacentral:misc_RNA from 1 species